UCAACGCUGCAUCAGUGCAGGUAGGGGAUUGAGCUCGAGCUAGCUCGAAUAAAGGCUCUUUUGCUUGUACAUCGGACUCGGCUCCCUGGCGGUAUUUGGGGAUCACGAAUUCUGGGCAUAACACACAUGACAUGAGUAUUAAUUUAUUCUCAAUACCAGCUAGCUCUGGUUCUUUAAUUACCUUUUUCUGUCAUGGAAGAUUGAUGAGGGAGCAUGGGGCAAGUUGAGGGCAAAAUACAAGUUAGCACACGCCCCCGCCCCAGGUGGGAUAUGUGUGAUUCUGGCUGCUCCAGGACAAAGGAAAGGAAAGAAAACAAAUGGUUAACUGAUAGAGAUCUCAGUCGGGCAAGACAGGAGUUUCCAUCAGUUUACAAAUAUCUUAGUAAACUACAAGAAAAAGGCCAUCUUUUUCUCCUUUUUCCAGUAUGAAAGAUUCUUGGGGACAGUCCCUGUCUAUUCUUUGUACCCCCAGUACUUAGUACAUUGUCGACAUAGAGUGCGCGUGGAAAGGAUUGUUUUUCAAUGAAUUCAUUCAUUCUUAUCAACGGAUUCCACCCUAUUUUGUCCUGUAUUGCCUACAUAACUAUGAAAUUCAGAUUCUUAGAAGAGACUCUUGGUGUCAUAAGAUGCUUAGUAGAGGUGGUGAGUUUUAAGACAUUGUAUUGACACCACUAAAACCUCUUGGUGGCGAAACUCAAUGAGCCCGUUCUCUGGCAUGCUGGCAAAACAAAAAACUGACCCUCAGUAUUCUUUCCCCAAGUCAGGCAUCAGCAAAUUAAUGAGAGGAGAGAGGAGGCCCCUGCUCUUGGGCACCCGCAGGAACUUACUCCAGCUCCAGACACACCGUAAACACUUUCAUCUAACGGAAGAUAAGCUGUGAAAUCGGAUUUCUGAACCACAAGACAGUAAGACAGUCUUUUCCAGCGUCUGCUUUAGAGGAGGGUCUUCAACCUUGAGUCUAAACAUCCCCCUCAGGCCACUGAACAUGCCCAGUAUGAUUUGCCUUUUUACAGAGAAAUCACAGAAUGUUCCGGCUGAAAGGGAAUAACACACUUCUUACUUGAAGAGUGGUCAGGAAAGAAAGCACAUGGAGAGCAGUGCCCUGUGGCGGGUAUUCAGGAGUUCUUUCUGCUUUCCUGAUGGCUGAGGAAGCACCCACACCUGUUGCUGCCUGGAGAACUCUGUGCUAAACUUAGUUCUUCGAAGUUCUCUUUUCCAUAGGAAACUUGCACAUGAGCCGGAAUCAAAGUUAAAUUCAAAAGUGGAUUUCAAGGACCAUGCACACCUUGGGGAAGCAUCACUGUCACGAAUUCCCAUGAUAAUACUGACUUGGGUGUUACUUGCUUGGGGCUUUCACUGCCCACACAAAGCUGGGUACGAGGGAGGGCAGAGAGUGCCAUGUAGGAGUUAAGACAAGUCUCUUGGCCUCUUUGUACCUUAGUUUCCUCAUCUGAAAAAAAAAUGGAUUUUAAGACCUACUUUCCAGAAUUCAUACUGGGUUUAUUAACACACACCUAACCAGUCACUGUAUGAUAUUUUUACAUGUAGUUUUUUGUUUUUUAACAUGUAUUCAUUUUCUAUUUCACUUACAGCUUGUGUAAAAACUGCAUUCCAUGCCAGGCCUGAAAUGUUCCAAAGCUCAGUUUGCUAUCAGCAUCCCAGGUGGUGCAAUUAAUAAAGAGCUAGCGUGGGGCCACUGGCACAAACAAGGCAGCUCCUUAGAACCUGAACUUCCUAUUUGUUCCAUUCCUUGGGUAGAGAACGCCUGUUAAUUACUCUGGAGGUAAGUAUUUUUUUCCCCCAAAUCACUUAUGUGUCUAAAAUGGUUCCUUCCACAAAUCAAUGAGAAAAUAAGAAUUCAACGAAAAAAAUGGUAAAAAUUGUACCAUUAUCAGCAAACAAAUGUAAAGAAGCCCUCUACUGAAACCUCUCUAGGUGUUAGAAGGAUAAGGGAAGUUAGAAAUUAGAAUAACUAACAUGGAAAGAUUUCUUAGACAUAUUGCAUAGGGAAAAGCAACAAAUCACUGGCCAAGGAAUUAAAAAGUAUCCCCUCAUUAGAAAAUUAGGAAAAAAUGCAAAGGAAAGAGAUGGGAAGGAAGGACACACACCAAAAAGGUGACAGGAGUUAUCUUAUGAGUGGUAGGGGGGGGGGGGUGGGAUUUUCACGUUUUAUCCUCUAUACCUGUGACAUUAAAAACAAAAAAAAGUAUCCAUGAUAAUUCAUGUAUCCAUGAAUUACACAUGUUUAAAAGAAGCUAUUAAAUGCCUGAGGUUCAGUUUCAACCGCUACCUCUGCGUAUGACUUUGAACCUUUACCUGUAGUUUUGUUCUCUUCCCUCAGCAACAGCUUACCUGGUCAGUUUACAUACACAUUUUUUUCAGGGGAGUCAGGAAUAAAUUCAAAACAGAUACCCAUCUGCCCAUGUGCCUGGUGGACAUUUCCAGUCAACCUGAAGCCUUCUGGUUGCUCUAUGUGCCCUGGUAAAAGAUGCCUCAACUUCCAUCAUUCUCCUUAUCUGGGACAGAAGUUUCAGAGUAAUAUCUGAGUUUUCUCUUUCCCGUGCACACCCCAUCCGCGACUGUCAUCAGUUAGUCUAUCUUGUCACUUCCUCCUUUGCAGUGCUCUUAAGGCUUUUCUUUCUACUCUUUUCAGCCACUCUGAUUCGGCCCCUUGUUACUUUACUCCUAGGUUUUGUUAGAACAUUCUAUCUGGUCUCGCUGGAUCAAGCUCUCCUCUCCAGAUCGCCCUAUAUGGGGAACUGAAAAUAAUCCUCCUUUCAAUGGUCUGUAUCUCAUGCUUGAAAACUUUCAGUUCCUCUCCGUAACUCAGAAUGUAACGUUCAAACCUCUCUAGCUGAUAGUCAAGGUUUCUCGUAAUUGGAUCUUUAACGGCUUAACCUAAUUCUUUUUUUUUUUUUAAUGUUUAUUUAUUUUUGAGACAGAGAGAGACAGAGCAUGAAUGGGGGAGGGGCAGAGAGAGAGGGAGACACAGAAUCGGAAGCAGGCUCCAGGCUCUGAGCCGUCAGCCCGGAGCCUGACGCGGGGCUCGAACUCACGAACUGUGAGAUGUUGACCUGGGCUGAAGUCGGACGCUCAACCGACUGAGCCACCCAGGCGCCCCUAACCUAAUUCUUAAUUCCUGAUCAUUCCUGCAGCCAUGCCUUUGCCUAGACUUAUACCCAUUUUUUCUCUACUUAACACAUCAGAGCCACUCUUUAAGUCUCAGCUAAAGUGUUAGCUUAUCCAUGCAGCUCUCCCUGACCUCCAUACUCCACUGAUUACAGAGUCUGCUGAAUUCCAACACCCAUGGUACCUCUUUUAGUACUUAAUUACAUGCCACCUCCCUUUCUAUGACCAUUUCCUUUCUUCCCACCUGUCAUUUCAUGUUCUGAAGACGAUUGCAUCCUAGUGUGGCGCCCAUAGUACUUACUCUUGGGUUGGGCCCAAACUGAGUACUGUAUGUGGAAGGCCGGGGGUCAAAGAUGAGGUCUGGGGAAUCAAAAUAAUAACAGCUAACACUCAUAUUUUGCCAGGCACUGAUCCAAGUGCUUCAUAUGUAUUACCUCACCUAGAUCUCACAAUAAUCCCAUGAGAUGGUAACUAUCAUAAUUUCCAUUUCACAGAAAAGGAAACUGAGUCACAAAGCUAAUAGAUGACAGACCUCGGCCCAAAUGCAGGCAAUCUAGUUCCAGAAUCUCUACUCUUCACUACUCUGUUGUAUCCUAUUAUAGAGGAUGGAGCAAAAAUGGGAGAGUAGAGGUUAAGGAAUGAAAUAAUGGGGCUAAAGAUUGGAUAAGGAAAAAGAAUAAGGACAAUUACAAGUAAAAGAUUGGAGAAGGGCGAACAGUAGUAAAAAGGAAAAUGAAGAUAAGGGAUAGUUGACAAAGAAAACGUAAAAACAGAAAGUCAGUCAACGUGGCUGGGGAGAUGAGGAAGGCCCAGGACGACAUUGAGGAAGAGACUGCCAUGUCAAGCAGGAGGCAGAGAACAAACAAGUAAAGGCGAUUCUUACAAGAUGGUGAAGGUGCCGUUGUAGGUGUCGGGCUCCGGCACGGGCACUCUGCGGAGCCUCUGCUGUAGGCUGAGACCAACACACGACAGUGUCUCAUCUUUGCAGGUACAACGCUCACAUAGUUUGAGGUUUGUGGUGGCAUUCUGUUCUGGUUGCCAAGUUAAAGUUGUGUAUGCCUUUUCGGAGGUAUAGUUUACAAAAUGCACCACAGAAUGUUGAGUUGUUGGAGGAAAACCUGUCUCAAAUGACGCUGGUUGCUGACUUACAGGAAUUUCUAGGUCCAUAGGUGGAACCGUGACUUCAGUCAGGUUUCGAUGUUGACUCUGAACCUGCUCUGGAUGUGCAAGUGUCACCUCAAGGUCCUUUGGGGGAGGAGUUGUAGUCUUCUUCAGGGUUGUCGAAUGUUCAGCCUCCGUAAUAGGUUCUGGAGUUAUAGUAAGCUCCACAUGACGAAAUGGGAUGAUGGGUGAUGCUGGAUGCUGACCUUGAUCCUUACUUGGAGUUGGAACUGUCACUUCCUGCUGGAAUGGAUAUUGAACUACAACCUCCUUAGGUGGCUCUGGAGGCUGAGUUGGGGUGUCUCGCAUGGUUGGAGAAGGUUCAGUCUCCACACUGGAUCCUGCAGUUACAGUAAGUUCCAGGUCCAUAGGUGGAACUGUGACUUCAGUCAGGUUUGGAUGCUGACUCUGAACCUGCUCUGGAUGUGCUAGUGUCACCUCAAGGUCCUUUGGAGGAGGAGCUGUAGUCUCCUUCAUGGGUGUAGAAUGUUCAGCCUCUGUAGUAGGUUCUGGAGUUAUGGUAAGCCCCAAGUCCACAUGAUGAGCUGUGACACUGGGCAAUGUUGGUUGCUGACCUUGAUCCUUACUGGAGUGGGAACUAUCACUUCCUGUUCGGAUGGAUACUGAACAACCUCCUUAGGUGGCUCUGGAGGCUGGGUUGGGGUCUCUUGCAUGGUUAGAGAAGGUUCAGUCUCUGUAGUGGAUUCUGGAGUUAUGGGAAGCCCUGGGUCCAAAGGUUUAACUGUGACUUUAGUUAAGGUUGGAUGCUGAAUGUGCUCUGAAUGUGGAAAUGUCACCUCAAGGUCCUCUGGAGGAGCGGUAGUCUGCUGCAGGGCUGAGGGAUGUUUAACAUCCGUAGUGGGUUCUGUAGUUACAGCAAGCACCAAGUCCAAAGGCUGAACUGUUACAUUCGGCAACCACAGACACUGAGCUUGAUCCUGAUCUGGUGUUGGAACUGCUGCCUCUUGAUACACUGGAGGUUGAGCUACAAGUUCCUUAGGCGGCUCUGGAGGCUGAUCUGGGGUCUGUGGACUUUUGGCCUUAUUCAAGGUUGAAUGCUGAACCUGAACCUGCUCUAGAUGUGCAAAUGUUACCUCAAGGUCCUUUGGAGGAGCUGUAGUUUUCUUCAGGGCUGUAGAAGCUUUAACCUCCAUAGUGGGUUCUGGAGUUAUGGUAAGCUCUAGGUCCCAAGGCUGAACUGUUACAUUAGGUGACAAUGGAUGACUAGCUUGAUCCAGACCUGGAGUUGGAACUGUCACCUCCUGAAACAGUGGAGGCUGAACCACAACCUCCUUAGGUGGCUCUGAAGGGUGACCUGGGAUCUCUUGCGUGGUUGAAGUUUCAACCUCUGUAGUGGGUUCUGGAGUUAUGGUCAGUUCCAGGUCUAAAGGCUGAACUCUGACUUCAGUCAAAUUUGGAUGCUGAGCCUGGACCUGCUCUGGAUGUGGAGGUGUCACCUCAGUGUCCUCUGGAGGAGCUAUAGUCUGCUGCAUGAUUGUAGAAUGCUCAGUCUCCACAGUAGGUUCUGGAGUUACAGUAAGCUCCAGGUCAGCAGGCUGAACAGUAACAUUGGGCAAGUUUGGAUGCUGAGCUUGCUCUUGUCCUAGAGGUGGAACUGUCACCUCAUUAUGGACUGGAGGUUGUGCUACAACCUCCUCAGGUGGCUCUGGAGGCUGAACUGGGGCCUCCUGCUGGGCUGGAGGAGUUUCUGCCUCCUUAGAGGGCUCCGGAGGUUGAGUUGGAGCCUGCUGCAGAAUUGGAUAUGGUUCUACCUUCUCAGGGGCCUCUGAAGGCUGAGCUUGUACCUCAUGUUGUGUUAGCCACUAUCUCCUUAAGUGGCUCGAGAGGUAGAGAUAGGGUUUCCUGCUGGACUGGAGAUGGUUCCACCUUCUCAGGAGGCUCUGGAGGCUGAGGUGGGGCCUCCUGCUGUGUGGAAGGUUCUACCUCCUUAGGGGGCUCAGGGGAUACAACUGGGGCUUCCUGCUGAGUUGGAAAAGAUUCUGCCUCAUUACCGGGCUCUGAAGGCUGAGCUGGGGCCUCUUGAGGUGUGGGAGAAGGUUCCACCUCUUUAGGGGGCUCAGGGGAUAUAGCUGGGGACUCCUGGAGGACUGGAAACUGAGCUGGGGCCACCUGCUGGGUUGGAGACUCUGCCUCAUUAGGGGGCUCUGAAGGCUGAGCUGGGGCCUCCUGCAGUGUGGGAGAAGGUUCUACCUCCUUAGGGGGCUCAGGAGAUACAGCUGGGGCCAGCUGGGGGACUACAGACUGAGCUGGGGCCUCCUGUUGUCCUGAAGCAGGUUCCACAGCCUUAGGGGGGUCUGGAGUCUGAGCUAGGACCUCUUGUUGGCCUGGAGAAGACUCAUCUUCAGGGGACUCUGGAGACUGGGAAAGACGCUUGGACUGAGCUGGAGAAAAUUCAACUUUCUCAGGGGGAAUAGGAGAUUGAGCAGGGACAUCCUGCUGCACUCGAAGAGGUUUAACCUCCUUAGUUGCCUGGGGACUUAUGAAAAUCCUCAGAUCCACAGGUUUAACUGUGAUAUUAGGCAACGCUGGAUGCUGAGCUUCACCUGGACCUGGAGGUGAGAAUGUCACCUCAUGCUGUGCUGGAGACUGAGCUACAACAUCUGUAGAGGACCCUGGAGGCUGAGCUGGAUGCUCAUACUGAACUGGAAAAGACUUGACCCCCUCAUUGGGCUUUGGUUGCUGAGCUGGGACCUCUUGCUGGAUUGGAGAAGGUUCUCUACUUGCAACAGGCACGUGAGGCAGAGCUGAGCUCUCCUGCUGGCUUGGAGAAAGUUCAAUUUCCUCAGGAAAAUCUUCGGGUGGGGUUGAGACUUCAUGCUGGACUGGAGAAGAUUCAACACUUUCAGGGGGCGCUGGAUGCUGAUGUGGGACCUCCUGCUGGGUUGGAGAAGGUUCCAACUGCUCAGGGGACACUCCAGACUGAGCUGAGGCCUCUUCUCGGAGUGGAGAAGCUUCAACCUCAUUAGUGGAUUCUGAGGUCAUGGUAACUGAGGAAUCCACAGGUCUAACAGUGACAUUAGGCAACAGCAGGAGCUGAGCUUGAUUCUGACCUUGAGGAAAAACUGUUACCACCUGACGCUCUGGAGAGUGAGCUGGGGCCUCCUGUUGGGUUGGAGAAGGUUCAACCUCACCAGAAGGCUCCUGUUGAGUGGCAGAAGGGUUAAUUUCCUCAGAGGUCUGUGGAUGCUGACUUGGGGCCUCCUGAUAGGUUGCGGGUUUAACUUCCCCAAGGGGAUUUGGAUGCUGAGUUGUGGCCUCUGACUGGGCUGGAGAAGGUUCAGUCCCCUCAAGGGGCUCUGGAUACUGAGUUGGGGUCUCUGGUUGGGUUGGAAAAGGCUCACCCUCCUCUGAUGCCUGAGGAUACUGAGCUGGAGCCUCCUGCUGGGUUGAAGAAGGUUCAACCUCCUCAGGGGUCUGUGGAUGCUGAGCUGGGGACUCCUCCUGGGUUGUAGGUGGUUCACUCCCCUUGGAGGCCUGUGGGUGCUGACCCUGGCCCUCCUCCUGGAGAGGGGAAGGUUCACCCUCUUCCUGGGCCUCUGGAAGCUGAGUCGGGGCCUCCUCCUGGGUUGAGGAUGAUUCACCCUCCUCAGGGGCCUGUGAUUGCUGAGCUAGGGCCUCCUGCUGGGUUGUAGAAGGUUCAACUUCUCCAGGAUAUUCUGGAUACUGAACUGGGGUCUCCUGCUGUGUUGGAAGUUUGUCCUGUGUGGUAGAUUCUGGAGAUUGCGUUGGAGUCUCCUGUUGAACUGGCAAAGAUUCAGUUGCAGAAUCUGAGGGCAGAGUUGGGGCUUCAUGCUGGGUUUCCAAAGCUUCCACAUUAAGAGGCACUGAGGGCUGAGCUAUAGUCUCGUGCUGAACUGGAGAAGGUCCCACCUCUGUAGUGGGUUCUGCAGUCAUGGUAAGCUGCACAUCUGGAGGUUUCAAACUGACAUUGGGCAGGUUUAAAUGUUGAUCACGGUAGUGACCUGGAGGUGAAACUGUCAUCUUAUGAUGCCAUGGAGGUUGAGCUGGGUGCUCCUGCUGGGUUGGAGAAGGUUCCACCUCCCUGGAAGGCAGCUCUGGAGGCUGAGCUGGUUGCUCUUGCAGGGUUGCAGAAGAUUCUAUCUCCCCUGGAGACUGAGCUGGAGUCUUCUGCUGGGUUGAAGAUUCUGCCUCAUUAAGGAGCUCUGCAAGCUGAGCUGAGACCUCCUCCUGGGUUGGAGAAAGUUCAGCUUCUCCAAAAGGGUCUGCAAGCUGAGCUGGGGGUUCCUGUUUGCUUAGAGAAGGCUUAGCUUCCUCAGGAGGCACUGAAGGCUGAGCUGGGGUCUCCUGCUGCCUUAGAGAAGGAUCAAUCACCCCAGGAGGCUCGGAAGGCUGACCUGGGGUCUCCUGCUCACUUGAAGUCUCAACCUCCUCUGGAGGCUUACCCGAGGUCUCUUGCUGGGUUAGAGACAGUUCUGCUUCCUCAGUAUGUUCAAGAGGCUGAGGUGGGGCCUCUUGCUGGGCUAUAGAAGACUCAACACCUUUAUCAGGCCCUGGAGUUGUGGUAAGUUCCACAUCUAAAGGCUUACCUGUAACCUUGGGAAACAUUAAAUAAUCCCAACCUGGCAUUGGAACCA